AAGUCGUAACAAGGUUUCCGUAGGUGAACCUGCGGAAGGAUCAUUACAAAAUUCAAACAACCUAUGUGGCACAAAAAUCACACAUUUUUACACACAAUAUAUAUGUCUAUAUUGUUGUGUGUGAGUGUGUGUGGUUAUAAGACAAUGUAAUUUGUCUUAAAGCGAAUUUGUUUUUUUUGUGGUUUAUUGUAUUAUUUUUAACAAUGGAUCUCUUGGUUCUU
rnacentral:misc_RNA from 1 species